rnacentral:lncRNA from 1 species
UUUAAAUUGGUUUUUGUGGCCAGGCGCCAUGGCUCAUGCCCGUAAUCCCAGCACUUUAGGAGGCUGAGGCAGGCCGAUCAUUUGAGCCCAGGAGUUCAAGACCAGCUGGGCAGCAUAGUGAGACCCCAUCUCAUAUAUAUAUAUAUAUAUAUAUAUAUAUAUAUAUAUAAGUUUUUGUGUAUUUGUCAUUAAACCAAGUCAGCUAAAUUUAUUUACAAAUGGGCUCUCAAAGUUCAAAGGCAUGCCAAAAUAAUUCCCCCUUCUGAGACUCCAGCUGACGUGUUCAAACAUUAUAGGGAUCAUUAAAAAAGUCCGUUUUUCUUAAAACUAAAGUAAAGGGCCACAUCUAUGAAAUCAUACAGUCCAAAUAGGACAGAUAUCUCAAUUGGUAUCUUGAGGCUCAAAGACUCACAUUCAAGACUCAAAGAUUGCCUCACUGCAAAGUACUGUCACAAAGCUACCUGGGACUCAUUCUUCCCCAAAACCUUUCCAUCCCCUUCCUCCUCCUCCCCUUUAUCCUUCUCUAUGCUAAACUCUCUUUUUCCAAAACUCCUCAACUAUUCUGGCAUACUGAUUAAUAAGAAUCUAUUCUUGGCCGGGCACAGUGGCUCACGCCUGUAAUGCCAGCACUUUGGGAGGCCAAGGCAGGCAGAUCACGAAGUCAGGAGUUCGAGAACAGCCUAGCCAGCAUAGUGAAACCCUGUCUCUACUAAAGAUACAAAAAAUUAGCCAGGUGUGAUGGUGGGCCCCUGUAAUCCUAGCUAUUUGGGAGGCUGAG